AUUGAACGCUGGCGGCAUGCUUUACACAUGCAAGUCGAACGGAUUUUGGAGCUUGCUCCAGAGUUAGUGGCGAACGGGUGAGUAAUAUAUCGGAACGUACCCGGCAAUGGGGGAUAACGUAGCGAAAGUUACGCUAAUACCGCAUAUGCCCUGAGGGGGAAAGCAGGGGACCAGUAAUGGCCUUGCGUUGUCGGAGCGGCCGAUAUCGGAUUAGCUAGUUGGUGAGGUAAAGGCUCACCAAGGCGACGAUCCGUAGCGGGUCUGAGAGGAUGAUCCGCCACACUGGGACUGAGACACGGCCCAGACUCCUACGGGAGGCAGCAGUGGGGAAUUUUGGACAAUGGGCGAAAGCCUGAUCCAGCCAUGCCGCGUGAGUGAAGAAGGCCUUCGGGUUGUAAAGCUCUUUCAGGUGGAAAGAAAAGGUUACGGAUAAUACCUGUAACUGAUGACGGUACCAUCAGAAGAAGCACCGGCUAACUCCGUGCCAGCCGGCCGCCGUAA
rnacentral:rRNA from 1 species